CUACGGGCCGCUCCAGUGAGGAAUAUUGCACAAUGGGGGGAACCCUGAUGCAGCAACGCCGCGUGGAGGAUGACGCAUUUCGGUGUGUAAACUCCUUUUAUAUGUCAAGAAAAUGACGGUAGCAUAUGAAUAAGCACCGGCUAACUCCGUGCCAGCAGCCGCGGUAAUACGGAGGGUGCAAGCGUUACUCGGAAUCACUGGGCGUAAAGGACGCGUAGGCGGGUUGAAAAGUCAGGUGUGAAAGCCUACAGCUUAACUGUAGAACUGCACUUGAAACUCUCAAUCUAGAGUAUGGGAGGGGCAGAUGGAAUUAGUGGUGUAGGGGUAAAAUCCGUAGAUAUCACUAGGAAUACCUAAAGCGAAGGCGAUCUGCUGGAACAUUACUGACGCUAAGGCGUGAAGGCGUGGGGAGCAAACAGGAUUAGAUACCCGGGUAGUC
rnacentral:rRNA from 1 species